AGAGUUUGAUCCUGGCUCAGGAUGAACGCUGGCGGCGUGCUUAAUACAUGCAAGUCGAACGGAAGAGGUAGCAAUACUAAAUUAGUGGCGAACGGGUGAGUAACGCGUUGGUGACCCGCCCCAGAUCGAGGGAUAACAGUUCGAGAGGACUGCUAAUACCGCAUGAAAUUACGGAAGUUAGGUUACCGUAAUGAAAGGAGCGAUCCGAUAUGGGAGGGGCCUGCGUCCCAUCAGCUAGUUGGUGAGGUAAAAGCCCACCAAGGCGACGACGGGUAGGGGGCCUGAGAGGGUGACCCCCCACACUGGCACUGAAACACGGGCCAGACACCUACGGGUGGCAGCAGUAGGGAAUAUUGGUCAAUGGGCGAAAGCCUGAACCAGCAACGCCGCGUGCACGAUGAAGGCCUUCGGGUCGUAAAGUGCUUUUCGGGGAGACGAGGAAGGACGGUAUCCCCGGAAUAAGGAUCGGCUAACUACGUGCCAGCAGCCGCGGUAAAACGUAGGAUCCGAGCGUUAUCCGAAUUCACUGGGCGUAAAGCGCGUGUAGGCGGUUUGGUAAGUUGGAUGUAAAAUCUCCUGGCUCAAUUGGGAGGGGACGUACAAUACUGUCAGACUAGAGGACGGCAGAGGAAGGUGGAAUUCCCGGUGUAGUGGUGAAAUGCGUAGAUAUCGGGAGGAACACCAGUGGCGAAGGCGGCCUUCUGGGCCGAUCCUGACGCUCAGACGCGAAAGCUAGGGGAGCAAACGGGACUAGAAACCCCGGUAGUCCUAGCCGUAAACGAUGUAGACAUGGUGUCGGGGGUGUAAAAACCGUCGGUGCCGAAGCAAACGCGAUAAGUCUACCGCCUGGGGACUACGGCCGCAAGGUUAAAACUCAAAGGAAUUGACGGGGGCCCGCACAAGCAGCGGAGCGCGUGGUUUAAUUCGAUGCUACGCGAAGAGCCUUACCCGGGUUUGACAUGCAGGUAGUAGGGAACUGAAAAGGGACCGACCCUUCGGGGAGCCUGCACAGGUGCUGCAUGGCUGUCGUCAGCUCGUGUCGUGAGAUGUCCGGUUAAGUCCGGUAACGAGCGCAACCCACGUCGUAUGUUACAAGUGUCAUACGAGACUGCUGGUAUAAAGCCGGAGGAAGGUGUGGACGACGUCAAGUCAGCAUGGCCUUUAUGUCCGGGGCUACACACACGCUACAAUGGCCGGUACAAUGGGUAGCAAAGCCGCGAGGUGGAGCCAAUCCUCAAAGCCGGUCUCAGUUCAGAUUGUAGGCUGCAACUCGCCUACAUGAAGUCGGAGUUGCUAGUAACCGCGCGUCAGCAUUAGUGCGGUGAAUACGUUCCCGGGCCUUGUACACACCGCCCGUCACGUCAUGGGAGCUGGCAACACCUGAAGCCGGUAUCCUAACCGCAAGGAAGGAGCCGUCGAAGGUGGGGCUGGUGACUGGGACGAAGUCGUAACAAGGUA
rnacentral:rRNA from 1 species